GGCGAGCGCUUCUCGUCUCGCCGGCCUGGAGAUGCACUUGGUCGUAUGACUUGGACAAGAGGGUCUCGUAUGGCGUGGUGGAGCUACCCCAUGGUGCCGUGAUAUAAGCAGCAAACCAUCGGUGUUGACUGAAGUUCAGUAGCCAGAGAUUCAGGAAGAAGAUCAAAUGUCGCUGCAGUACUUUAAUGAAUCGCGCGCCAAUUUGGGGGCGGUGGGUAAUUGAAGGUCAGUUUCCAUACCUAUGUGUGAUGUUUCGCGUCCAUAGUCUCCUGGAUCCGGCUGUCCCAUCCCCACCCCUUUCGCGGCUUCAACUCCUCCUAGUUGAUGGAUCGGUGAGCUGUGGAGAGGCGACGACCAUGGCAGGCUUGAAGCCACAAUGGUAGCAGCGGCCGGCGGUGGUGACUUGCCCAAUGGCGGCGGCUCCUGCGCUCCUUCACAGCCCAUGUCGCCUCCUCGCUGCAGGUUACACCUUCCUGGACCUUUACUGCUUUUAAAUUAGCUCAAUACAAGAUGAAGUUAUUUAGAUCUGGUAGAACCAGUGGAUUGCAUGUAUAAAUUAUAUGAUGCAUUAUCAUUUUGAGGAAGACAUACAAUAUUGACAUGAUGUUGCAAGGCGGCACAUUCUGUGUCCG